UGAGAGAAAAUAUUAGAAUAAAGCCAUGCACCCAAGUGUACACUCUUGGUAUUUUAGCUGGCAAUGGACAGGGAGUUUUGUGCAACUUCAUUUUGGAUGCUUCUGUAGUGGGGUAGCCAAAUUGCUAUAUUCCUUUGCUCUGCCAUUGCAUGUAAGUCCACAUAUAUGGAUCAGUCUAGCUUACAAAAUUUUGGCUUGUAUUAUAUUGAUUCCCUUGAUCAUAAGAUGUAGUUUUUCGUUCGAAAGCUCUCAUGAAGAAAGAAAGGU
rnacentral:misc_RNA from 1 species